UGAGCAAUCUGCCCUUCUCAUCGGAAUAACCAUUGGAAACGAUGGCUAAUGCCGAAUAUGACCUCGGAUCACAUGUUCUGAGGUGGAAAGCUCCGGCGGAGAAGGAUGAGCUCGCGGCCUAUCAGCUAGUUGGUGUGGGUAAUGGCCCACCAAGGCGACGACGGGUAGCCGGCCUGAGAGGGUGACCGGCCACACUGGGACUGAGACACGGCCCAGAUCCUACGGG
rnacentral:rRNA from 1 species